rnacentral:rRNA from 1 species
GACGAACGCUGGCGGCGUGCCUAAUACAUGCAAGUAGAACGCUGAAGGAGGAGCUUGCUUCUCUGGAUGAGUUGCGAACGGGUGAGUAACGCGUAGGUAACCUGCCUGGUAGCGGGGGAUAACUAUUGGAAACGAUAGCAAAUACCGCAUAAUAGUAGAUGUUGCAUGACAUUUGCUUAAAAGGUGCAAUUGCAUCACUACCAGAUGGACCUGCGUUGUAUUAGCUAGUUGGUGAGGUAACGGCUCACCAAGGCGACGAUACAUAGCCGACCUGAGAGGGUGAUCGGCCACACUGGGACUGAGACACGGCCCAGACUCCUACGGGAGGCAGCAGUAGGGAAUCUUCGGCAAUGGACGGAAGUCUGACCGAGCAACGCCGCGUGAGUGAAGAAGGUUUUCGGAUCGUAAAGCUCUGUUGUAAGAGAAGAACGAGUGUGAGAGUGGAAAGUUCACACUGUGACG